rnacentral:rRNA from 1 species
UGGGCGUUUGAGAAUUGAGAUGGGCUGCUCCUAGUACGAGAGGACCGGAGUGGACGAACCGCUGGUGUUCGGGUUGUCAUGCCAAUAGCAUUGCCCGGUAGCUAAGUUCGGAAUCGAUAACCGCUGAAAGCAUCUAAGCGGGAAGCGAGCAUCAAGAUGAGUUCUCACUGACCCCUUGAGGGUCCUAAAGGGCCGUUGGAGACUACAACGUUGAUAGGCAGGGUGUGUAAGUGCUGUAAGGCAUUGAGCUAACCUGUACUAAUGACCCGUGAGGCUUAACCAU